AUUGAACGCUGGCGGCAUGCUUUACACGUGCAAGUCGAACGGUAACAGGGUGCUUGCACCGCUGACGAGUGGCGAACGGGUGAGUAAUGCGUCGGAACGUGCCGAGUAGUGGGGGAUAACGCAGCGAAAGUUGUGCUAAUACCGCAUACGUACUGAGGUAGAAAGUGGGGGACCUUCGGGCCUCACGCUAUUCGAGCGGCCGACGUCUGAUUAGCUAGUAGGUGAGGUAAAGGCCCACCUAGGCGACGAUCAGUAGUGGGUCUGAGAGGAUGAUCCGCCACACUGGGACUGAGACACGGCCCAGACUCCUACGGGAGGCAGCAGUGGGGAAUUUUGGACAAUGGGCGAAAGCCUGAUCCAGCCAUGCCGCGUGUCUGAAGAAGGCCUUCGGGUUGUAAAGGACUUUUGUCAGGGAGGAAAUCCCUAGUGCUAAUAACACUGGGGGAUGACAGUACCUGAAGAAUAAGCACCGGCUAACUACGUGCCAGCCGCCGCGGUAA
rnacentral:rRNA from 1 species